ACUCAAAUGAAUUGACGGGGGCCCGCACAAGCGGUGGAGCAUGUGGUUUAAUUCGACGCAACGCGAAGAACCUUACCUGGGCUCGAACGGCUUCUGAAUACUUUUGGAAACAGAGGUAGUCCCGCAAGGGACAGGAGUCGAGGUGCUGCAUGGCUGUCGUCAGCUCGUGUCGUGAGAUGUUGGGUUAAGUCCCGCAACGAGCGCAACCCUUGUCCUGUGUUGCAACCCCGCAAGGGGGCACUCUCAGGAGACCGCCAGCGAUAAGUUGGAGGAAGGUGGGGAUGACGUCAAGUCAUCAUGGCCUUUAUGUCCAGGGCUACACACGUGCUACAAUGGACGGUACAAAGCGCAGCGAACUCGCGAGAGGGAGCAAAUCGCAAAAAACCGUUCUCAGUUCGGAUUGCAGGCUGCAACCCGCCUGCAUGAAGCUGGAAUCGCUAGUAAUGGCAUAUCAGAACGAUGCCGUGAAUACGUUCCCGGGCCUUGCACACACCGCCCGU
rnacentral:rRNA from 1 species